CCUGGGUGCUCAGGGCGUCUCUCCUCUCCACCACUCCAUUGCUUAAUAUGACUUACUAAUUCCUUCUGCCUAUCUGAAUUCCGUUUUAAAUAAUCUUUGUUUUCCUACCCAAAGCCAUGUUGUCAGGUCACCUGCACUGAAAUAUUCCUGUUGUAAAAGACAAAACUAAAUGCAUAUCAAGGAUUUUGGUUUUUUUCUUCUCUCUGCCGAGGAUCUCUCUCCAGUGGAAGACGUGGAAAAUUUCUGAAUGAUUUUUUUUUAUGCAAGGUGAGUGCUUUUUUUAUUGUGCUCUAGCAUGUCUGGGAGAGGAGACCAAGAGUAAGACAUGUAAUAUGCCUGACCUGGUGCAAAUGCAUUCUUGUAUUAAGGCAGAGAAACCUUUCAGACACCUUAUGGGAGUUAUUUUGCCUGAUCUCUUGGGCAGCAUGUGUAAUACCUGUGGGGAAUGGAACGGAACAGAACGGAAUGAAGUUUGGAUGGAAAAAAAGUUGGUGUUGAUGGACAGGGUGCUGUUGAAUUGCUAACAAUGCCACGCGCUGCCACAGGAGCAGGGAGGUCUCACAUCCCUCAGGACAGGAGCAUAUCCUCACCAUACUGCUGACCAGAAGAUCCGGUCAGGUUGGGUACUUUCAAAUCUCAUUUACCAAGAUCUUUCUUUCCCUGUUGAGAAUCCAGCCCAGAACUGAUCUUUGAAGGCUUUGUACUCUUCUAUUAAGUUGCCUUUUGUGGAUAUCUGUGAACCGUGGUGGUGGACAUAAAGUGUUUUCCUGAUUUAUCACCCUUCUGCAUUGCACAAGUAUAGACGUCUGUGAUUUUGUGUGCGCAUAUAUAUAUAUAUUUAUAGAGGUCCAUGUGUUGGUCACAUGUUGAAUAUAAUUUAGGUGUGUGGAUCCUUGCCGUCUGGAAAAAUAGUCUAACAUUUAGCUGAAAAAAAGUCAGGUACCUGGAAAGCAGAAAUGGAAA
rnacentral:lncRNA from 1 species